AACGCCGCAACUGGUCUCCGCUGCGCUUUCGCCGAUCGGAGAUGCGACGCGAUGGGCUCUGAAGGUAAAUUUCUUCCCUUUGUUUUUGAUAAAAGAAAAUAAAAUAAAAUAAAAUAGGCUAAGUAAAUAAAACGCAAAUCACCUUUAAACAAAACUUUGUACUUUCAAUAUUUUUCCUUUUGUAUUUCUCUGUAUUUUUUUUAUUUCCUUUUUUUUUCUUUUUUUUACAGAUUUCAAAGGCUUUUAUAGCCCGAAAAAGAAAAACUAGAUCGCAUCUAUCUAUUAUUUUGCUAUUUUCUCUCUGUUGGACUCUUUGAAUAUGCUUCUUUGCAGGUGUUGUGCGCGCGAAUGACGUGCGUGGAGAGGAGUCGGCCCCGAGUCGUGCGGUGCUUGGAGAGGCUGCUGGAGGCGGGGGACUACUUGCGGCGCUGAAGCAGAGAGGCUAGGGUUUCUGCUUAGUUUUUUAAUUGUUGGGCCAUUUAGUUUGUUAGGCCUGUAAAAAAAAACUGGGCUACGCCCAACAUGUUAUUUGUGCGGGCCCGGGCUAAUUGGGUCUGCUACAAUUGCAAUUUUAUUUAUUUGUAUUAUCAAAAUACUUUUCAUAUUUAGAUUCCUUUGUAUUACAUUUAUUUGUUAUUAUAGUAUUGUUAUCUUUAUAUUGUUGCUUACAUAAUUUAUUCAUGCAUGUUGACAUUAAAACUUUUAUAUACCAAAUGUUUGUAUUUUUAUGCACAUCAUGCCACGGUUAUUUAAAUGCAUGUUGUAUAGCCAUGUAUGAUUCCUUUUGUGUGUCAAAUGAUUCUAUUAAAAGCAUAAUGAAUUAAACGUUUUAUUUCACUAUUAUUCCACUCAAAUUCAUAACCAAUUUCAAAAUAAGGCAAUGUUUCGCAUUUUAGAAAUUUGUUUCUUCUCUCACUCCAUCCUCAUUUGCUUAAGAUCCGGCUUAUAACCUAAGCCAAAACGAUCGUGCUUGCCCUUCAAUACUGGGACCUCGACUCGACCCUGAAGAUAUCUCUCCAAUCCUUUCCCUGGCAAAGCUCAUUUUCCAACUGUCAAUUGCAGCUCCAUCCCUAUGGUCUUUGAUAUUCUCGGCAUCGGGAUCUUGUUUCCCUCAAAGAUGAAUGUUGCAUUUAUGAACUCUAAGGAACGGAAAGAGCACUCGAUUGCAUCAUCACUCGUCUCCAAAUAAGGUGCAUCGUUAGUCACAGAUGCAAUGAUAUCCUCCUCAGCAUCUAUCAUCACUACCCGACCUUCUGACACCAACUUCAAUUUUUGAUGUAACGAUGACGGUACCGCACCUGCUGAAUGAAUCCACGGCCUUCCUAAUAGGCAACUGUAAGAAGGCUUGAUAUCCAUAACCAAGAAGUCUACCUCAUAGACAGUUGGGCCGAUUAACAAUGGUAUGUCAAUUCUUCCCAUGACUUUCCUCUCGGUGCCAUCAAAUGCUCUCACCACAUUCUGACACUAUUUCAUAUGUGAACUAUCCAUAGGUAGCCUGUUGAGCGUGGAUAAAGGCAAUACGUUCAGUACCGACCCGUUGUCUACCAGAACUUCCGCUAAUAUACACCCUUUACACCUUGCAGUGAUGUGUAAAGCUCUAGUAGAUCCCAUACCUCCAGGUGGUAUUUCGCCAUCGCUGAACGAGAUUAAGUUAUCAGCGCUUAUAUUGCCGACCAGUCGAUCCAACUUGUUAACAGAGAUAUCGUCGGCCACAUAAGUUUCAUUUAGCACCUUCAGUAGUGCAUUCCGAUGUCCCUCCGAGUUCAGGAGUAAAGCUAGCACAGAUAUGCGAGCUGGUUGUUUGUGUAGCUGCUCCACAAUGCUGUACUCGCUAUGCUUUAUGAACUUCAAGAACUCUCUAGCUUCAUCCUCCUUGAUUGGUUCAUUGACCAACAAUUCAAGUUCGACUGCCUUCUUCUUCUUUCCAAUCGAAGUUCCUUCUCUUAUUGGCUCUACUCGAGCCUUUACCUGUUCGUCAUGCCCUCCUUCAUCAUGGUCCUCCUUAUUAAUUACGUCCUCCUUCCCUGGGAUUGUCACAUUACAAUUGUAAUUCUAAGGAACCCUCCUAUUAUCCUUGUAAGUAAACACGGUCGGUUUUUGAAUGAUAACCUUUGGUGCUACUCGCGCUCCAGCCUCACUAUUCUUAGGUCGUGAGAUGAUGACCACAAGAUGGUUAGCCUUUGGAACUCCCACUGCCAACUCUGACGUACAUACAUGACUCUCCUUCUAAAUUCCUUCACAAAAUUCCAUCUCUUUAUUAUCCAUCAUACCCUGUACCACGGCUCUGAACUCUGUACACUCUUGGAUUUCAUGCCCCAUUUCAAAAUAGAACUCACAGUAGUUCCUCCUCUUCUCACAGCUUUCCUCUGAAGCAAUUAGCCCUCUUUUCAUCAUCUCUUUCCAGACCCAUCUCAAAGGAGUCUUCACGUCCGCAAUGUCUGCCUUAAUUUUUCUGUCCUCGCCCAUCAUAUUUAUUCCACUGUCAGUAUGGUUUGGUAGUGGAUUUUCUGCUUUGGUGGCUUCAUCAAAUUUAACAACACCCAUACCAAUGAGCCUUUCAACCAACUUCUUGAAGGCCGUACAGUUUUCUAUGGAAUGCCCCGUGAUUCCUGCAUGAUAGUCGCACUGUGCAUUUGCGUCGUACCAUUUGGGGUACGGGGGCUGUAAGGGCUUCAGAUAGAAAGGGGAAACUACAUGUGCGUCGAAUAAGUUUCGGUAUAAUUUCCUGUACGACAUAGGAAUUGGCGUGAAGUGGGGCCUCUCCGUAUUUCACCUUGUACCGACCUCUUGUCUCGAUGAGCUUUGCUGAUUGGCAGCCACCUUUCCAGGCUGACUUACUGUUACUGACUUCGAGUAACCCUUGUUGUACAUGCUCGUGUUGUUCACCUCGUUUUCCUUCCUCUUCGAAACUGAUCUUCUGUUACUCUCUCCAGCAUCGUUCUUCCCACUUCUGAUGGCAUUCUCAAUCAUCUCGCCAUUCAUGACUAUGUCAGGAAAGCUUUUUGUGGCACUUCCUAACAUAUGUGUUAUGAACGGUGCCUUCAGGGUGUUAAUGAACAACAUGGUCAUUUCCUUUUCCAGGAGCGGUGGCUGAACUUGGACUGCGACCUCCCUCCAUCUCUGCGCGUACUGUCUAAAGCUUUCGCUCGGCUUCUUCUCCAUGUUCUGAAGGGUGAUUCUAUUAGGAGCCAUGUCUAUCACAUGACUAUAUUGCUUCAUGAAUGCUUGCGCUAAGUCUUUCCAUGAACCAAUCGUGGCGCGACUCAACUGAUUGUACCACUUGGAUGCUGCCUCUGCAAGGCUGUCUUGGAAGCAAUGUAUUAAUAGCUGGUCAUUAUUAACGUAUCCAGCCAUUCGCCUGCAGAACAUGGUGAUAUGAGCCUCUGGGAAAGUCGUCCCAUUGUACUUCUCGAAUUCAGGCAUCUUAAACUUAUGAGGGAGAACUAGAUCUGGCACUAAACUCAGCUCUUUUGCGUCAAUGCCUCGAUAACCCUCAGUGACUUCCAUCGCCUUGAACUUCUUCUCGAGCCACUUGCAUCUUUCCUCUAACUGUCUCAGUAACUCCUCCUUCACUCUUUCCUUCUCAACCACUUCAUCAAAGUCAGGAAUGGCAGAGUUAAUAGGAUUAUUUUCAGGAUUAAAACCCGGCCCAGUUUGGAGGUUCGAAACACCAGCUCGAAAUUACUGAGGCAUGAUGGUGACAGUAGAUUUGCGCGGGUAUUCAGCUUGAGCUAGCUCAUGUGGAGGGGUGAAACCUGGAGGAUAGAAAAGUUCAUCAUCAUUUCCCUCAUCGACAUCUGCCAUGGGGCCCUUUCCUUUGUCACCUCCCUUAGUUAUCAGUUGGGUUAACUUUGCCACUAUAUCCUCUUGAGAUUCCCGCAUCUUCUUAGACUUCUCUUGUUUCAUCUUGUCUAACCGCUCCUGCAUUUGUAGUUGAAGCCGGUCUUGCAUCUCUUUCUGGUACUGUUCGAGCUUUUCUAAUCUCUGAUCCAUAUCUUUUGUCUUUGCUCGAGUGCCGUAUCAGUGUCGGGUUGGUUGGUUGGUUUCCAAGUUAACUGAGCAAUAAUUUUAACUUAUUAGGAUUUAAUAAAGGUCUUUAAUGCAUAUGAUGUGAUACUAAUGCAUAUGAUGCGAUGCAUGAGGUGAAUGCAAAAAAGGCGUUAAUUAUAAUUCAAUUCCACUCAGAAAACUUUACUAGAGAAAAAUUUUCUUUACAUAAAACAGCUAUAAAUACGGCUUUGCCCUAACACUUAGAACUUUAAUCUCCUUAAGUAAUGAUGCCAACUUUUGCCCCUGUUCUGAUUCUGAUUCAUACUUCACACUUAGUACAUCAGCUUGUACUGCCAAAGUCUGUAGGUGCUCAGCUACCCCUUGAAUCUGAACCACAGCUUCUCCCAUGAUAUGAUCCCUUCUUGCAACUUGAUCCUGAAGAUAGUGAAGCUGUUCAUUUUGAUGAUCUUCAUUUGCUUCCAGAUGUUCAAUUCUGGCUUCAUAGUCUUGUAAUAUUGCCUCCAGUUCGGCCACCCUAGCUUUUAAUUCAUCCUUUUCGUUCUGGCUUUCGGACAAACUCCUCUCAAAGGACUUAUUUUACUUUUGAGCCUCCUGAAAUCUCUUUUCCCACCUAUCAGCCUUGACCUUUUCUUCUUGAAUUUCUUGACACCACUGCUCUGAGGUUUUUCCCAAUCCAGCAGUUCUCAUUGACAUACGUAGCCUCUUAUAAUCCACCUUCAAGCUAUUCAAAUCCUCCUCAGCUUUGCGCUUUUCUUUCCUCAGGCCUUCGGUUUCCAGCUUCUGAACAUCCACAUCCAGCUUCAGACUCAUCUUUUCCUCUUCCAUUUGCCCUAUCUUCUUCUCAAGCUCAGAAUUUCUUCUUUCAAAAUCUUAUUUUAUAAUUUCUAGCUCAGAAGGGACCAUAUGUACAUGCUUUUCUACUAAUUGGCUGUCUCCUUGACCUGGUACAGGUAUAUUAUCAUUGACCCUCCUACCCAGCCAACUGAUAUAUUCAGGAGUCAUCGACGGACCUACUGACAAUCUCUUCAAACGACGAGUCUGCCUCCAAGCAUUUUUCAUUUCUCUAAUCUUUUUCUUGUAACCAUCACACUUAUACGAGAACUCACUUUGAGCUAAUCCUUGGGUUGUAGGUACGAACUGCCUCGAUCUAUACUGCCUCAAUACCAGUAAUAGUGCAUAACCAAUAGCUCCCCAAAUCCCAAGUAGAGGAACCCAAUCAAAAUUUCCACAUCUAUACAAUAUCUCAUCUGACAGCAACCAAGGAGCUCUCCACUCAAUGUCCUCCUCUUGAAGAUUCUGAAGAAUUGCAAUCCAUCUUUCUUCUAAGGCCCCAUCUUGCAUCGGUAUUUCCACUAUUUCUUUUAAGGACGAAUAAGUUUCAGAAAAAACUCGAUAAGAAAAUUUAUCAACCUUCCUGAAAUGACUGUGAAACCAUGCCAAGAGAAGCUGUGCACAUCCAAUGAAUCUUCCUUCACCUACUCUUCGGCAUUCGUUCAGUGACCUGAAAGUUUCUGCUAAAAUUACUGGAACCGGUGUGACUCCUUUAUCAAGUCGAUCGAAAAGAUCAGUGACUGCUUCAUCGAUAUGUCCCAAGGCUUUGGGAAAGACAACUAGGCCGUAGAUGCUCAAAGCAAAAACAUCAACCCUCUUCUUCAUGUCUAGAUGUACUUGAAUUAAAUCUCUCAGAUUCUUCCAAGGAAUACAUUUGUUAUCUCCCUUCUGUUUGAUUCGUGCUACGACCCACUGCUCACUCAUCCCAGUUAUAUUCACCAACUUCUUCAAAAAGGUUAGAACAUUAGCAGCUCUUGAAUAGGCUUUAUCCACUUGAAUUUUUGAACAACGAAGCAAUGCCGUGUAUUCCUCCACUGUAGGCACUAAAUCAACACUUCCAAAGGUGAAACAACAAUAAGCCGAAUUCCAAAAUUGGGCUAAGGCACGGAACAGGCGCUUAUCCACCUUUACGCCGGGCAAGUAAGGUAGGUCUCCAUAGCUAGAGUAGAAAAGUUGCUUAAUCUCAUCAUUCCACUGAUCCCAAAUUUCCUUUAGUUCCUGUAGGCUAUUCUGAGUCACGCUAACACGAGUGAAGUCCCACAACUCUGACACAUACCCAUCGGCCAAACUAUCACCUUUCUCUUGUUGUGCUGUCUCAGACCAAGUUUGGACAGCCGCAUUAUCUUCCACCUUAUCAAGAAACCCUUUUUCCAUGAUAAGCUUUCUAUCUAGCAACCGAAUAUGAACUAACGCCCUUUUAGGAUGAAAUGUUAUGCAAUCAUGAUGUCAUGCAAUCAAAACAAAAGAAACCCAAGUCAGUAUCACAUAUAAAGAUAUAAACAAGCAUAAAAUAGCAAGAAACACCUAAACAGGAAUCCCCUAGGGUUUUGGGAUAGUUCUACCUAGGUCAAGUUCCUAAAACUCACUAUAUGAGGUUUAGUUUCUAGAGUAAGGGUACCCAAACCAGCAAAUUCCUCGAUCCUCACCCAUUAUAGGCUCAUGUGGAUCGAGUUCGGUUCAGGGGGACACAUUUCCCUAUGGCUGCACGGAGAUGAAAAUCUCACGAAAACAUAGGUACGGAUGUAUCCCGGAAGCGGUCCACUACCCUACACGGAGGUGAAAACCUCACGAAGGACUAGUUUCUCGCUCCCACUUAAAGGGUAAAAUGCAAAAUGCAAAUGCAAGGUUACCAACAUGCCGAGAUGAAAAAACAAUAAAUGCGAAGGGAACUCAUGAAUUUUUUUUAAAACUUUUGAUUUUCGACACAAAGGCAAAUAUAAUCAGUUUAUGGCUCGACUCUCAAGUGUCCCCAGUGGAGUCGCCAAGCUGUCGAAACCGUUUUUUUGAAAACAAGAAUUUUAGCUAUCGACCCUUUUUUUAAAAAAAUAAAACUGGAGUCGCCACCGAUCCUUUAUUAAGGUGUGACCGGCCCACCUUAAAAAAUUAUUUUGGUCUGCGAAUUUUGAAAACAGGUUCGGGAGUCAGUUACACACGAGGAAGGGUUAGCACCCUCGUAACGCCCAAAAAUCGGUACCAAAUUGACUAUUUAAUGUCUUAGUGUCGAAAGUUAAAAAAGAUUCUAAAAUAGGCUUGAAUGAUGAAAUUUGCAAAAGGAUAAUCAAUUGUUCAAGUCAUGUAAAGAAAUCGAGUCCCAAUACGUUAGGGUACAAUUCCUCAUAAUCCCCAAACUUGAAUAUCACUUUUAUUUUAUUCGAAAAUCUUCAUUUCGAGAAAGUAACAUGCCACACCCAAUACGUUAGGGCACAACAAGUUAAGUUCCCAAAAUUGAUUUUUAUGCAUUUUGAAUAAAGACUAUUCUCGGCUUUUUAAGAUUGACAAGGAAAAUCAAAACCCAAUACGUUAGGGCUCAAUUCCCCUCGAAAAUCCCAAACCUCCAAAAAUGCUUUUAUUCAAAAAAAAAACCUUUAAAUCAAAAACUUUGAUGAAUGGUUAAAACCAAAAUAUAUUUUCAAAAUGGGUAUAUCGAAAGUUAAUUCAAAACAUAUAUGAAUACAUAUUUACAAACUAUAUAUAUGAGCACAAUAUACAAGUAAGCUUGAAAAUAUGUAUGAGCAUGCAUUUAACACGUAAAUACAAGUGUACAUAUAAAAAGGGAGGUAAAAAUAUAUACGACAAGCUUACAAUAAUUUCUAAGAAUAUGCAGGCAAAACAUGUGUAUGUAUACAUGAAAAUUGUGGAGAUAAAAAUAUCGAAAUAUGCAUAUAUAUAUUUACAGAAAAAUGUAUAAGUAUAUCGUAAAGAAAAUAUAAAAAAACAUAUGUAUAUACAUAUUUAUAGAAACUAAAAUAUAAAAGUUUAUUUAUAUAUGUAAAAGUUAGAAAAUAAAAGAAAAAAUAUAUAUAAAAUAUAGAGGUAUAUGCAUAUUGUAUAAAAGAAUGCCUAUAUAUAUAUUAUAAAAGCCAUGCGUAUGUAUAUGUAUCAUAAAAAACAAUGCCUGUAUGAUAUAAAAUAAUAAUAAUAAUGAAUAUAGCAUAUGCAUAUAAAACAUUUAAAUAUAUAUACAGUAUAUACAUAAAUAUGAUAAGAAACACAGGUGUGUGUACAUAGGCAUAGUAAUAAUAGUAUAUAAUAUUAUAGUAAAAAUAAUAAUAAAAAUGCUAGCAAUAUUAAUUAAAUAAGCUAAAAAAUCUAAAAUACAAGAUUAAAGGUUGAAUUGCAAACAAGCAAAAUUUAAAUGCUGAUUUCAAAAGAAGAAAAAAACAAAUAAAUAAAUAAAAAGGACAUAAAAACAAGAAGGGAGCAGAUUCAAAAGCGCGCAAUAAGAGGGGGACCAAUCGAGCAAUUCACCCAGACCUCCAAAACGCAGCGCAGAAAGGGACCGAAUUGAAACGAAAAUUAAAUAUGCGGCCCAAUUUUAAAACAAAUAAAAAGGGUUUAAUUGACACGUGCUGCAAAAGAGAGGGGCUAAAUGCGAAAAUUCCCCACCUGACGUCAGAGCGCGCGGAUCCUCCCCUUCGGGUCGGGUCACCGCGCGGGUCAGGCCUGGCAAAACGGCGCCGUUUUGAUCCGUUAUUUAAAUCAAUUUCCUUCCUCUAAAAUCAUUUGAAAAUUGAGUAAAAGAAAAAAAUUAAAAAAACGCCGCAACUGGUCUCCGCCGCGCUUUCGUAGAUCGGAGAUGCGACGCGAUGGGCUCUGAAGGUAAAUUUCUUCCCUUUGUUUUUGAUAAAAGAAAAGAAAAUAAAAUAAAAUAAAAUAAAAUAGGCUAAGUAAAUAAAACGCAAAUCACCUUUAAACAAAACUUUGUACUUUCAAUAUUUAUCCUUUUGUAUUUCUCUGUAUUUUUUUUAUUUCCUUUUUUUUUUCUUUUUUUUACAGAUUUCAAAGGCUUUUAUAGCCCGAAAAAGAAAAACUAGAUCGCAUCUAUCUAUUAUUUUGUUGUUUUCUCUCUGUUGGACUCUUUGAAUAUGCUUCUUUGCAGGUGUUGUGCGCGCGAAUGACGUGCGUGGAGAGGAGUCGGCCCCGAGUCGUGCGGUGCUUGGAGAGGCUGCUGGAGGCGGGGGACUACUUGCGGCGCUGAAGCAGAGAGGCUAGGGUUUCUGCUUAGUUUUUUAAUUGUUGGGCCAUUUAGUUUGUUAGGCCUGUAAAAAAAAAACUGGGCUACGCCCAACAUGUUAUUUGUGCGGGCCCGGGCUAAUUGGGUCUGCUACAAUUGCAAUUUUAUUUAUUUGUAUUAUCAAAAUACUUUUCAUAUUUAGAUUCCUUUGUAUUACAUUUAUUUGUUAUUAUAGUAUUGUUAUCUUUA
rnacentral:lncRNA from 1 species